rnacentral:rRNA from 1 species
AGCCUCCUGAUAUUACUAUAGAAGGUCAAACCUGCCCAGUGACCUACGGGUUAAACGGCCGCGGUACCCUGACCGUGCUAAGGUAGCAUAUAAUAUACCCUUUAAUUGUGGGAUAGAAUGAAAGGACAAACGAAAGUUAACCUGUUUCCUAAGUAAUAAUAUAAAUUAAUCUCCAGGUGAAGAAGCCUGAAUAUAAUUAAAAGACAAGAAGACCCUGUAGAGCUUCACUUUAUAAUAUAGAAAAAGACCUUUAAAGUAUUUUUUUCUAUUAAAUACUAAAAGUUUAACUGGGGCGGUUAGAGAAUAAAUAAACUUCUACUUACACUACAAGGUUUACACACCAAAUUAAUAUUUACUUCUAAUAAAAAUUCAAAGAAACAAGCUACCUCAGGGAUAACAGACUAAUUUUUUCUGAGAGUACCCAUUGAAGAAAAAGAUUGGCACCUCGAUGUUGGCUUAGGUUACCCAAGGGGUAGUAGCAGCCCCUAAAGGUAGGUUUGUUCAACCUUUAAAAUCCU